GAUGAACGCUCGCGGCAGGCUUAACACAUGCAAGUCGAGGGGCAGCGCGGGAUAGCAAUAUCCUGGCGGCGACCGGCGGAAGGGUGCGUAACGCGUGAGCGACAUGCCCGUUGCCCGGGGACAACCGGUGGAAACGCCGACUAAUCCCCGAUGGGAUAUUGUGCCGCAUGGCACGAUAUUGAAAGUUACGGCGGCGACGGAUUGGCUCGCGUCCGAUUAGCUUGUUGGCGGGGUAACGGCCCACCAAGGCUGCGAUCGGUAGGGGUUCUGAGAGGAAGGCCCCCCACAAUGGGACUGAGACACGGCCCAUACUCCUACGGGAGGCAGCAGUGAGGAAUAUUGGUCAAUGGGCGGAAGCCUGAACCAGCCAUGCCGCGUGCGGGAAGGAGGCCCUAUGGGCUGUGAACCGCUUUUGCCUGGGGGCAAUAAGGGCGUCGCGCACGUCCGAUGAGAGUACCAGGCGAAUAAGCAUCGGCUAACUCCGUG
rnacentral:rRNA from 1 species